CAAGCCCCUUCUCUCUCUCUGUGAUCUGUCCGUACGCUCUCAUCUCUCUCUAAAACUAUAUCUCAAAUUUCAUUCAAUCCCUUCCCUUCUCCGGCUUUAAAUUUCAAAAAUCUCCAACGGAUUAAAUUUUUAAGUCGGCGCCGAAGGUCGGCUACUCGGCUAUUUAUUUAGGUUUUCCUAUUUCCGAUUGCUCUGUCUCGGCUAUAGAGGAGGGCAGAGAAGGGAAGCAGAGGAGGGGCCAUUAAUGGAUUCGGAAGAAUUGGAAGGAACUUCUUGAGGUGCUGGCAUGGAAGGAAGGAUUCUCCCCUUGAUGUCAUUGCCAUCAACGACACGGAGGUGUCAAGCAGGCCUCUCACCUUCUCAAAUACGACUCCACCUUUGGCAUCUUCGACGCCGACGUCAAGCUGUCGGUGACGACUCCAUCUCCGUCGAUGGCAAGGUCAUCAAAAUCGUAUCCAGCCGCAAUCCCCUCAACCUCCCUUGGGGGUUGAACUGAAGAGGCUAUGUUUGAAGAAUUAAACAGAGAAGCGGAUUAGAAAUUAACAGAAAAGAAAGAAACAGGAAGCUACCUCCAGUCUGCGUGCAUGCAACAAUAUAUUAUCAAUGUGCUCGGAUUAGCGCUACUCAAAGUUGAAACCAUUCUUGCAGAAGUUUUUUCCGGUGUAGAUUGACGUAGAGCCGGCUUAGUGUGGGGUGAUGUUUGUUGGGUUGCGGCGGAGUGAGUUCACCAAGGCCUAUGUCUUCUCAAAUCGUUUGGGCGGUGUUGGCUUUCCGGAGACAACUGUGUGGUCGCUUGCCAAAAAGCGUUGUUGACUUGUCACUGGAGGUCCUACCUUACUCUGGUGAUGUAAAUCUUUAAGUGGAUUAAUUCUGAAGAAGCUGGAUAAGGAAUUGGAGAGGUCCCUUCUGCAUUCAUAUCGCAAGGUAUAACUGGAUUACUUCUACAGGCCUUUUUUGUCAAAAAGUGAAUGAUCCGACUACUAUUUAAAGAACCAGACCAAUUAUCCCUUGACUGCUUUCUUUAAAUAAUACUGAAUUCCAAAUGAUUGUGUUUGGUAACAUUUCAAUGCAAAGUAGAAUAAAUUAAUGAUGAAA